AAAAGUCAAUCGCAGUAACAGGAAGUAGUUUACACGAUGAAGAGUAAUACUGGCCAUUCAUUGGUGGGGAAGAUCUGAGACGCGCAGAGACAGAGAGACAGGAAGUAGAGUGUGCGUGCGGUGUAUAACACUUGGCUGACAGCGAAAAAAGUCCGCGUAAAGUUUGCGCAAACAAAUACGAGUUGACGUGUGAAGAUUAUCUACUCAACAGUCUUCACCAGGGUAUCCCCUCCACAUAUGGCUCUUCGGUGUUUCUAUCCGACGUUCAUCAUACCGUUGUUCAGGUGUUCGUAUUUAGCUUCAGGUGUGCGUGUGUUAGCUCAUUAGCAUACGCCGUUUAUUUUAUUAGCAUUCAUUAGCAUAGCGAGUGGACACUUAGCCGCCGCAUAGCUUAUCGAGCUGGCGUUGACGGCUUUAUAGUGCAUGUGUUUUCGACGUGGACACCUUGAGGAUUUAAAGAGACUGUGCCGGAGCUGUCCAGCUAACGGGUCAGCGCUCCUCCUCCUUCUGCUUCGCGGGAGAGACCUCGCCAUCUCUGGACAUCCGGUCCGCCGACGCCACCUAGAACUUCGCUCGCGGGAGACCGACAGACCGGUGACGUCAUCUGUUGACAGACACCUGCCGGCCACGUGUUCCUCGACUCAGAACCGAGCUAAGCCGUCCGUGGCUCCACUUCAGGGAAGGAGCCGGCGUGGAUGUUAAAUGAGACGAGGUGGCCCAGGACCUUCGGGCCAAGUUGGCGGACAUUCCCGUCACUGAUGGAUCCGCCGUGCAAUCAAACAUCUAGACGAAAGCCACGGUGCCCCUUCAGUGGGACUGUGCAGGGCGACUCUACAGCUAACACAGAUGGACUAUCCCUGUUCUGCCAGACUGAAAUAACACAGAAGCAUGUGGAGAGAGGAAGGGGUUGACAUGCGCCAAACGACCCGGACUGGACUCAAGCCCCUGACCAGAAAAGCAAGGCUUAUUCUAUCAGGUCGCGGGCGGCUGGAGCCAGCUGACAUUGGGCGAGAGAUGAUUUGCACCCUGGGCCGGUCGCCAGCGCAGCGCAGCGAUGAAUUCCCGGACCACCCGUCAGCCAGACUGAAGCUGACAGAGGAAGAGGGAGGAAGAAAGAAAGAAAGACAGACAGACAGACAGAAGGAAAAAGAGACGAUUCUGUUGUUACACACCUUGUUAAGCUUGCUUGAAGGAUGCAGGUGUGUUGACACUGCUCCCUGUCAAAGGCGAUUUGAGGGCAGUUCAGUCACUGUCAGGGCCAAGGCCAGCCCGGGUUGCGGGGCGUCUGUGUUUAUCAGCUCUGUUAGAUCCUGUCAUCCACCAGGCUCAGAGCAGAGCACAGGGGACCGAUCAUCAUCUCCUCCAGCAGGUAAAGAACAUUGAAGUGACAGGAAAGGACCUCCAACCACACACACACACACACAUACACACCUGAAGAAAGAAAGGGGAAAAAACACACAACAUCCAAACUGCUGGCCACUCUCAGUCUGUCAGGAGCUGUGGACGAAAUGUUCUCGUGCAUCUGAUUUGGUGCGUGUCAGUCCCCCCCCAGGUCUGAUGAGAGGACUGCUUGAUCCUUAUGAAACUUACAAUACAAAGAAAUAUCAGACCAUAUUGUGCUCUGACAAACCACAAAGGCCACAACACUGACUGUGUAGCUUCCACCUGAUUACACUUAGACCUGCUGUUAGCAUGCUACUCUAGUGUCCACCGCGAGAUUGAGAUCCGAUUGCUCUCUCCGGCUCAUGCUACGUCCUCCUUCGUUUGCACGGGUCCAAAAAAACCAAACAACAGCAAAAAAAAUUUAAAAAAUAGAAGAUGUCAGCCAUUCCAAGAUGGAACCCCCGGGAGCUGCUAGCUAGCAGCUACCUAGCUGAGUUCAGCACAGCUGCUAUUGUUAGCUAGCUAGCUAACUCUCCCUACCUGAAUACUGUAGGAGUUGGCUAGCUAGUUACUAUUAGAACACACACACAGUAUCAUACAUUAAUCAGCAUCAUAGCUGCGGGGGGCCCCACAGACACUGCUUAUGGAUGGGGCCCAGAAUUUGCUGCUACACCCCUGCUUACAUGUGCCGUCAGUGUGGUGGUGGGGGCGUCAUUGAAAGUGCUAUUUUUUUCAUUUAACAUUCAUUAGAAUUCCCCAUGAACAACAAAUGAAAAUUAAGAAAAGACGCUCACAUCAGUUAAAAAACGCACUGGUGAUAUGAGUUCUGACCGAGUAAACGUCACUCGACGUAUGUGACGUUGAAAGUGUGUGAAGAGAUGAGAAAGAUGUCUUCCUCUUCUUCUAUGCUUCAGGAAAAAGUCAGGCUCUUUCCAUUUAGAACAUCAUUUUGUCUGCACAGGUCUGCAGAAACGCGUUGUGUGCAUAUACCAAGUUCAUCUCCUUAUUUUUUCUCAGUUUCAUUAUUUGAAUUGCACCGUCACCUCUCCUGUGUAAAUAUCUGUGGGCAGACGCAAAUAUGUUAUACUGUUGUGCUCUUUUGCUCAGGAUAAAGCUAAAGACGUACAGCAGUAUUUACUGUAUCUGUGGCCUGUUCAAUCACUUGUUGAGUGAUUUAAAUAAAAAGCUGGUUCGGUUUAAGUUUUUACAGCUGUAGGUUAAAUAAUUGACAGUUAAAGUUUCUACAUUUCCUGGCAGCGAGACAGAUUCGAUAAGCGGAACUCUGUGCAACCUUUUCUCCGCUGAUCUAGUAGUGAAUUACUCGGUAAUAAGCACCAUGUGUAGGGCCACAGCACAGAAAUCCAAGGGCCAGAUUGCAAAUAGGUGUUUCUAAUACCCUCUGGAAUAUGAAAAUGCCUCUGCCUCUGUGUCAACUUGUCAACAGGGAGUCUUUCUUUCUUUCGGGGUUUUUUCCUUCUUUGCCAAAUGAAACAAUCAGGUCAUUAAUUGUUGAUGACAGCUUUGCAGGUACAGCUGUCAUGCUCCGGUGAUAUUCAUAUUCGUCGGACCUCAAACGCCUUGGAAACAGUUUGAAUCGACUCUUAUCAAGCUUUAAAAAAAGAUAUAAUUCAUCAAAUCCUGGUUUGGAUUAAACACACUGAGAAACGGGUGAAAUUUCAAAAACGCCGGCACAAUUAGCCUGCAAACUAAUUCGCAGGUUCUGCCCAGUUACGUUUGUGGCGGUGUCUGUGGGACCUGGGGAUUCAAACCGUACCACAAGUGAGUGUUUUCUGUUAAAACAAACAUCUGUUCAAUGUUUUCUCAUAGUGAGCUCACCCACCGGACAAAAUUACCCAGGAAAAACAUGCCCAUCAAAACUUUUUUUCUUUUUUUUCUUUUUUUUUUAUCCCUGAGACCUUCAAACCUUCACGUAAAAAACCCCCACAAAUGGCUGAAUGUGGAAAGGAGGGGAAGUCGGAGGUAGAAGCAGGUAGCCAUGAAGUUAGGAAUGUAAGACGGAUGGAGAUGCUGCGGAGUAAAGGUCAGGAUAAUGACUGUGGACAAGUCCAGAGGAGUAGACCGCCGAGCCGUGACUCCCAGCACUAAUAGGAUUAAGAAGGAUGGGAUUCCCCCUGGAGGACAGGACACACUCACACCAGAGAGGGAUGGAAGGAGCGACAUCGCUGCCUCGCCUGGCAAUACACCCGCAGGACUGGGUUUAAGUGUGUGUGUGUGUGUUGCACUCCUCUGCGGAGGGGCAUAUGAGUACCAAAAGGUCCUCGUAAGGAUAGGACGACGAAAAUAAUCCUCUAACCUGAGAACAUAUGGCCGCAUGGCUAUGAGAGGUUACUUUACUUUGUGGACUUUGAUUUACGGUAAACUUUAGCUGAGUUUUUCAGGGCUGUUACCAGUCGUUACCGAGUAGUAGUUGUAGCUGAGUGAAAUGUUAAAAACCUGCUUUUGCAACCUCUUUGUUAAAAGCACUCACUUUCGUAUCUUUUAUUUUUUUCAGAGUUUUGACCCUGCCAACAUGCUCAUUAUUCUGGUACGUUUUUAUUUUAUUUGUUAUUUGAUGCUAUAAAAACGGGGCGAACCGUCACGAUUGACAACUGAGACUUACUCACGAUUGGUUGAGCAUGUGUAUCGGAGGGACCUCGACACCCUUUCUCCAGUCCACGAUCACUACUGUGCAGACUCCGGAUUCCAAAUGAUGUCAGCAGUGCACGUUGGCUGUAGUGCCCAUAUUCAUAAUAUUUUGGCCUCAUUUUUGUAUGGGGGCAGGACUUGGAGACGUGUCGUCCAUCUUUAUUUACAGUCCAUGAUCUGGCUAAACAGUUUGGGUUCUGAGUUAAUUAUCUGGAUAGCUGUUGGAUGGACCACCUUGAAAUUUGGAUGUCUUACAAAUAUAUAUCCCAAAGACUAAGAAAUCAAAACACUUUGUUGAUCCCUUGCUUUCUUAUUUGGCUCAAAGUCAAGGUCAAUUAUCCUCAAACAUUUCUACCGUCCAAUGGACGGAUUCGUCAAAAAGGUUGUACAGAGACAAAUGGUUCACAUGUGACAACUUUCACGAACCACUGACUUCUUCUAUUGUGCCACCGUAUGGUUGACAUUUUUUUGGGCUUCAAAAGGAAAAUGCCCCACAGAUUGAUUUGUAACUUUCAUCUUGCUUGUAUAUCUAAAUACCUGUGAAACUAAUAACAUCCCCUUCAGCGGAGACCUCGUACGCUGUAUCUGAUGCUAAUUGACAUGAUAUUAGCAUGAUGUUGAUGAUGUAUGAUUGGUCCCAGGGUUUAAAUAAACGCUUGAUCUUGUUGUUGACGUUUGAGCCCUAUAGCUGCAAAUCUCUUAUUCAGAUAAUGCAAAUGUAUAUGAUGAAUUUUUUACACCACUAUUCAAGUCAUUCCCUUCUCUGGUGGGUCUCCUGCUCUUCGUCUCCCCCUGUUGUUUCACACACUUUGCAGUUGCUUGCCUCCGACUUAUCCAAAUUGUGACGACGUGACAGCAGCACAAUCACGCACGCAAAAGCCCCUUCUCCCUCCUCUCCACUUGUUGUUCACCUUCCUCAACGAGAGGGAGGCGAGGAGAAAGAAAGAGAGAAAGGCCUGUGUGUGUGUGAUGGCGAGUGGUGGUGACAGAGAGCGCUGCCUGGGAGCCUCUUCACGGCCCUGUCCACAACAUCACAGCCCACAGAGAACCAGAGCAUCACAUCGCCUGCAACACUUCUCGGCUGCUUCUGACACACACUCACACAAACACACGUUUUCCAGUGCUACACUUUUUAGUCUUCACUGACUUUUUGUUUUCUCAGUCGGCAACCAUCAACCAAAAUGGAAACAUGGAAGUAGAUAAAGUAUUGCAGGAGUAUUUCUCUACUCGAAUUCAUUGUUACCUGCAGUACUCAACGUUUGCUAAUAGUGAAAUCUGCAUUACGCUUAUAUUGGCUGAAUUAAAUGGCCUGACAUUAGGAUGUGGAACAUUAAAAACUGUGAGUACCUGUAAGACAACAUCCAAGUACAAUACAAGCAUAGGCACCAAAUAAUGGAUUUUAAGGCUAAAACCGGGAGUUUGUUCACACUGUGUUCGUGGUCCCUUUAUUGAUACUGUGUCCCUAGAUCACAGAAAUGAAAACUGUGUAUAUGAUCAUAACCAAAAUGAAAUACGGGCAAAACUAUUCCAAUUAGUUUCAUUUGAUGUAUUUAAGCUUCUCUUUUGGUUGUUUUUAGACUGCCUUAUUAAAACAUGGCCUCUUUGAGCACUUUAUUAAAAAACGUAGUCACGGUUUAUUGCUAGGCGGCCUCUAGUGGCCACACAUAUCAUGACGUUAGCAAAGGAGGAAGUCAGGUGACACAGUGUACAGAGCCAAAGAUUUCACAUGAGGUCCACAGAGGUCCUCCGACCUUAGCGACGGACUUUAACCAGCACCGUGAUCUUUCCCUACACCUGAUCGAGUAGUUUAUAAAAAUGUGCCUUAUUUUGUGGAUUUCUUUAAAUAGAUUUAACUGUUCACCUUCAGAGACACGUUUCACUUUUUAGGUUGUUGUUUUUUUUUUAAAUCAAACACAUUCAAUUGCUCACCUGAUGCAAAUAUCUAUUGAACAUUGCUGUGGUCACUUUAUCCUAAGCAAUACAUUUCCCAAGAAUCUUCCUAUUCCUGUAAUCUAAUAAAAUCGAACCUAAUCUAACCCUAACUGGCCUCAGCCCCUGCUCCUUCUCAUAAUCCGUAUUGCUUUUCGGCCCUCACAAGGAUAGCGGUACAAGAAGGCACACGCAACUGAACACACACAUUCCCAUGUGCGUCCUGUUUGAACACACACCCACCCUCCAGCUCAGUACUUAGGGAGCAUAUGCUGGGUGCUGAGUCUCUCUGUCCUCAGGGGCCCGGGGGACAGAGGCCCCUGCCCGCCUGUCUUGUCUGCCUAUUUAUGACCAGAGCCAACUGGACAGGGCUGACGGAUGGGCCCCUGGAGCUGGGGAC
ensembl:lncRNA